CGGGCGUCUUAACAUGCAAGUCGAGCGGUAGCACAGAGAGCUUGCUCUCGGGUGACGAGCGGCGGACGGGUGAGUAAUGUCUGGGAAACUGCCUGAUGGAGGGGGAUAACUACUGGAAACGGUAGCUAAUACCGCAUAACGUCGCAAGACCAAAGUGGGGGACCUUCGGGCCUCAUGCCAUCAGAUGUGCCCAGAUGGGAUUAGCUAGUAGGUGGGGUAACGGCUCACCUAGGCGACGAUCCCUAGCUGGUCUGAAAGGAUGACCAGCCACACUGGAACUGAGACACGGUCCAGACUCCUACGGGAGGCAGCAGUGGGGAAUAUUGCACAAUGGGCGCAAGCCUGAUGCAGCCAUGCCGCGUGUAUGAAGAAGGCCUUCGGGUUG
rnacentral:rRNA from 1 species